AUGAAACGCUUUCAGACAUAAUUUAAAAUUGCACUUAGCUUUAAGUCAACUUUUUAGUGGAGCAAUUGUUAAUCUAGUACUAUGAGAUUACAAUAGAAAUGUCUUCCUUUUACUUAAGACCUCUAAAUGGCGAAAAGGACAUUGUGGUUCCCUUUGGCAAAACCACGAUCGGAAGAGGUCCUUUACUUGGGGUGACAGACAAACGAGUGUCUAGAUCGCAUGCGGUACUGGAGGUGAAAGAUGAAAAUCUUACUAUUCUGCCCCUUCACAUCAAUCCAACCUUCUUGAAAUCUUCUGAUGGAAAGAAGUUUGUAAGUUUGAAGAAAGGCAAAACCAGAGUCCUGAUUGAUGGUGAUGUUAUUGCAUUGCUUCCAGACAGCUUGUGCUUUAUGGUUGUUUGUCAGGGAGACUCACUUGAGAAUGGUGUAACAGAAGAACAAGUGGGAAUCUCCAAGAAUAAGAUGUUAGAUAAGCUUCUUACUAAGUCAAACAAGGCUCAUGAUAAGGAAAAACCUACAAAAUCAUCAGACACACCCACAGGUGCUGCUAAUAUGUUGCUGGAUGAAUUCAUGAAUACUAAGCCUUCCUUAGGAACAUUUUCUGCUGAUGCAUUUACUAAACAUGCCAAUGUGAACUUCACAAACAGUAAACCAUCCACUCAAGACACAAUUACAGCUAAUUCCUCCUUCUCUGUGAUAGAAAAAGAUGUGAUACCACCAUACAGACCAUUGGUAGAGCCUGCACCUUUGCUGCAAAAGACACGCAAACUACCCUCAUGGUUAAUAGAGUCAACAAGUCAAGUAAAAUCUCCUGCUAAGAAUUCAGUUAACAGGAGAGGGAGAACUUUGGUUAGCCAAAAUGUAGAGAAGAAAACAGCCGCAGAUAACAAAGAAAGAAACAAAAUCACUUGGAGGGAAAAAUUGUCAGCGAAGGAGGAACAGAAGGUUUCAGGCAUAGAUGAGGAUUUUACCAUGGGGGAUGAUGAUGAAUCUGAGCAUUUGAAGGAUAGAGGAAAGACCAAAUUUGCAAAGAAAAGAUCAUCUACAAGCACUGAAGACAAUGAGGAAGAUGUCAAACCCACAGAAAGCAAGAAAACAAGAACAAGCAGAAUACUAGGGAAUGAAAAUGAUGUUGACAACGAGCCUUCAGGACCAAAAAGCAAGAAGGAUAUUCGUAAAACAUUUUCAGGAGAUACUGAUACUGGUGGAAGUGAUGAUGAGAUGUCUGCAUCCAAAGUAGAAAGAACCCAAAUGAAGUUUGUAGAGUGGUAUGUUGUUCAAACCAAUGAGAUCACUGCAUUUGGGUAUGUAUCUUGUACCACUAUAAGGGUAUGUAUCUGGCACCAAUCAGAUUGCCGCAUUAAGGUAUAUAUCUCUCACCAAUCAUAUCACAGCUUUCUUUUGGAAUCAGGGGGCUGUGCACAAAGAAUGAUGUAAACCAUAAAUUUUGGGCUAAUUUUGAUAAGUGUAAUGGUUUGUGGCCUUCAUGGGAGCCUCGUUGCUUAGGGUCAAGAUUUAUCAGGAUAUGAAAGGUUCACAUUUAACCUUUUUGUAUCAUUAUUAAGUUAAAAGGUGUUUUUUCCACUCCUUUACUCACAACUCGCAUACCAAACAACUUACAUUCCAUCACGUAUCAUGAAAACAACAUCUAAAGUCCAAUCAGAACAUACCAAAUCAUAUCACUACAUGAACAUUUGACAAUUUUUCAGGUGCUUGAAUUGUUUACUACAAAUCAAAUUCCAUUUUGUCAAGUAAUAGUAAAUUUUAUUCGCAGUUCUCCCACAUUUUGACUAUUUCGAUGAAUAUAAUUGGCUUUUAGCUACCUUGGACUUAAUUCAAUCGCAUGUUAAUUUCUUGUGAACAACCUGCAUUUUAUCAUGUAUUUCACACAUGGAGGGCAAAGUCCAGGUAGGCAAUAAGCAAUCAAGAAGCACUCUUUAAAAUAUUAUCCUUUUCUUUUGAUCAAUGUAUCUUCUUUUAUUCAAGAUCGCAGUAUAUCUUUGGAUAGGGUCUAUUGGAGAUACAACAGAGUUUCAGUUUGCUUUUCAUAGUAAAAUUAUGCAGAAUUAUAUUUUUGAGGCAACUAAUUGUAGAUGAAUAAUUUUGAUUUUCUCUCUAUUUAAGGUAUUUUUCCAACUGUAUCACACUAUUACUAGUCCAUGUAUUUGUUUAAGUAUAGUACUUGGGAGGUUGGGAGAACACUCGAUAAGCUGGAAACCACUCAGCUUCGCAUUGUGGUUUUCCACGCUUAUCUCAUGUUCUCCCAACCUCCCGUGUGUUUACAUCAGGCUAUGUAAACAUGAAAACCAUUUUACAUUUCUUCAAUAGUGACUACAUACAUCAUACAUGUAUUGUUAGACAAACUAUUAAACAUUUUUUGCUCUGUAGACGGCAUGAAAAAUUAUGCUACCAGUUGAGCCUCUCCAAAAUGGCUAUGGGGCAGGGAAAAGGUGCUGUUGUAUGAGACCUGUAUUUUUUUGAAGAGGAAACAAUAUUUUUUUAAAAAAAUUAUUUAUUAUAGUAGAAUCCUAAUUAACUGAUGCAAAGGUUUUUAAAUUAAGCCGUUACCAACAGUUCUACGGUUGUAAUGUUUUUCCCUCUUCUUUUGCAGGAAAAUGAAAAAGAAUCAGACAAAAUGAAACUUCCACCCUGUCCUUAUGGAAAGAAAUGCUACAGGAAAAAUCCUUUGCAUUUCAAAGAGUAUUUGCACCCUGACAAGGAUAGUAGUGAUGAUGAUGAUGAUGAUGAUGAU